GGGGGUGACAGGCUUCGAUAUAUAAGUUUCCCUUUCUACGUUCAAAGCAGAGCUGUAGUAACUCUUGAAACUGCUACACAAUAUACUUGCAAAAUCAAAAUCAAUCGUUUCACCUUAUUCUGAUAAGGUAAACAAUUUUGCAUUCGCCCUCGCUUAAGUAGGACGAACGACUUCCCUCUUUGUAUCUCAUGGAGAGGUGCGGUUGUUAUACAAUGAGAUCCCGCCUGCCAUCGCCUGCGGCUUCAGCCAAUGGCGGGCAGGUCGACUACGAGAAGGUUUCUUAUCGUGGUUUAGACCAUAGAAACUAGGACUUUGAUUGUUUUGUUUGUUUUAUAGAUCAAAAUCCGAAUCUGCCUCUGGCAGAAAAACAAACUACGCUUUGUAAACUCGUUUAAAGUGCUUGUAUACACAGGGGUUCAAUUCCCCUCUCCUCCACAU
rnacentral:tmRNA from 1 species